rnacentral:rRNA from 2 species
GGUCAAGUUACUAAGAGCAUAGGGUGAAUGCCUUGGUACCAGGAGCCGAAGAAGGACGUGGUAAGCUGCGAAAAGUUACGGGAAGCUGCAAGCAAGCAUUGAUCCGUAAAUGUCCGAAUGGGGAAACCCGGCUGGAGUAAUGUCCAGUCAUCCAUAACUGAAUAAAUAGGUUAUAGGAAGGGAACUCGGGGAACUGAAACAUCUAAGUACCCGAAGGAAGAGAAAACAAUAGUGAUUUCCUAAGUAGCGGCGAGCGAACGGGAAAGAGCCCAAACCUAAGUCUACGGACGAGGGGGUGUGGACAGUCGAUAAAGGUAGCCUGAAUUUUAGCAGAAUCGUUUGGGAAAACGAGCCGAAGAGUGUGAGAGCCACGUAAGCGAAAAGAGGAAGGCGUCGAGACUGAUCCGGAGUACCACGGAGCACGUGAAACUUUGUGGGAAGCAGGCAGGACCAUCUGCCAAGGCUAAAUACUACCUGGUGACCGAUAGUGAAUAGUACCGUGAGGGAAAGGUGAAAAGAACCCCGGAAGGGGAGUGAAAAAGAACCUGAAACCCUAUGUUUACAAGCAAUGGAAGUUCGUUAAAGAACGACCAUGUACUUUUUGUAGAACGGGCCAACGAGUUACGUUAUGCAGCAAGGUUAAGUGCUUAAGGUACGGAGCCGUAGCGAAAGCGAGUCUGAAAAGGGCGAAAUAGUUGUGUGGCGUAGACCCGAAACCAGGUGACCUAUCCAUGUGCAGGUUGAAGCUGAAGUAAAAUUCAGUGGAGGACCGAACCCAUAUCUGUUGAAAAAGGUUGGGAUGACAUGUGGAUAGCGGAGAAAUUCCAAUCGAACCUGGAGAUAGCUGGUUCUCCUCGAAAUAGCUUUAGGGCUAGCCUUGAGAUAGAGAGAUACGGGGGUAGAGCACUGACUGUCCUAGGGGCCUUCACCGGCUACCGAAGACUAUCAAACUCCGAAUACCGAUAUCUUAUGCUCAGGAGUCAGACUGUGUGUGAUAAGAUUCAUAGUCAAAAGGGAAACAGCCCAGACCAUCAGCUAAGGUCCCAAAAUGUAAGUUAAGUGGAAAAGGAUGUGGAAUUGCACAGACAACUAGGAUGUUGGCUUAGAAGCAGCCAUACAUUUAAAGAGUGCGUAAUAGCUCACUAGUCGAGUGAUUCUGCGCCGAAAAUUACCGGGGCUAAAACUUACUACCGAAGCUAUGGAAUUAUACUAWGUAUAAUUGGUAGAGGAGCAUUGUGUGAGGGGUGAAGUAGGAUCGUAAGGACCUAUGGACAUCACACAAGAGAGAAUGUUGGCAUGAGUAACGAGAGACGGGUGAGAAUCCCGUCCGCCGAAAACCCAAGGUUUCCUGAGGAAGGUUCGUCCGCUCAGGGUAAGUCAGGGCCUAAGCCGAGGACGAAAGUCGUAGGCGAUGGACAACAGGUAAAGAUUCCUGUACCACCGAGAACCGUUUGAGAGAGGGAAUGACACAGGAGGUUAGGCUAAGCGCACCGUUGGUUGAGUGCGUCUAAGCAACGAGUCUGGGAAGUAGGAAAAUCCGCUUCUUGUAAAGGAUGAGUUGUGAUGGGGAGCGAAAUUUAGUAGCGAAGUAGCUGAUAUCACACUGUCAAGAAAAGUUUCUAUCGAGGGAGCAGGUGCCUGUACCGUAAACCGACACAGGUAGGAGAGUAGAGAAUACUAAGGCGAGCGAGAAAACUAUUGUUAAGGAACUCGGCAAAAUGACCCCGUAACUUCGGGAGAAGGGGUGCCUCACUAGGUUCAGAGCUAAGUGAGGCCGCAGAGGAUAGGUCCAAGCGACUGUUUACCAAAAACACAGGUCUCUGCUAAAUCGAAAGAUGAUGUAUAGGGGCUGACGCCUGCCCGGUGCUGGAAGGUUAAGGGGAAGUGUUAGCGUAAGUGAAGCACAGAACUGAAGCCCCAGUAAACGGCGGCCGUAACUAUAACGGUCCUAAGGUAGCGAAAUUCCUUGUCGGGUAAGUUCCGACCCGCACGAAAGGCGUAACGAUUUGGACGCUGUCUCAACAAUAGACUCGGUGAAAUUGUAGUACCGGUAAAGAUGCCGGUUACCCGCAGCAAGACGGAAAGACCCCGUGGAGCUUUACUGCAGCUUGGCACUGGAUAAUGGUAUAUCAUGUACAGGAUAGGUGGGAGACAUAGAAGUGAGGACGCCAGUCUUCAUGGAGUCACUGUUGGGAUACCACUCUUGAUAUAACGUUAUUCUAACUAUGGACAGUAACCCUGUUCUAGGACAAUGUCAGGCGGGCAGUUUGACUGGGGCGGUCGCCUCCUAAAGAGUAACGGAGGCGCCUAAAGGUUCCCUCAGCGCGGUUGGAAAUCGCGCGAAGAGUGUAAAGGCAAAAGGGAGCUUGACUGCGAGAGGGACACCUCGAGCAGGGACGAAAGUCGAGCUUAGUGAUCCGGUGGCACCGCAUGGAAGGGCCAUCGCUCAACGGAUAAAAGCUACCCCGGGGAUAACAGGCUUAUCUCCCCCAAGAGUCCACAUCGACGGGGAGGUUUGGCACCUCGAUGUCGGCUCGUCUCAUCCUGGGGCUGAAGUAGGUCCCAAGGGUUGGGCUGUUCGCCCAUUAAAGAGGCACGCGAGCUGGGUUCAGAACGUCGUGAGACAGUUCGGUCCCUAUCUGCUGUGGGCGUAGGAAAUUUGAGAGGAGCUGUCCUUAGUACGAGAGGACCGGGAUGGACAAACCUCUGGUGUAUCAGUUGUUCUGCCAAGAGCACUGCUGAGUAGCUAAGUUUGGAAGGGAUAAGCGCUGAAGGCAUCUAAGCGCGAAGCCCCCCUCAAGAUGAGAUUUCCCAUCCUUUAUGGAGUAAGAUCCCAUGUAGAUAAUAUGGUAAUAGGCCUGAGGUGUAAGUACAGUAAUGUAUUCAGCUGACAGGUACUAAUAGAUCGAGGACUUGACCAA